CUCUCUCAGCCACAAUCUCUGCAUCUUUCACCAAUAAGUCAGUGGAGCCAAAUUAUAUUCCCAUUAAGCUCUCCAACUUCUCCAAGAAGUCAGCUGUCACAUACCCUAUGACUCUUCUAUAAUCGACAUCGUGAGGUAUGCAAAGCUGUGAUUUGCUUACAAAUCGCUGCAACAAGGUCGGGGCUUCUAUUCGAUCAACAAAAAGCAAUAAGGUUGAGUGGGAUGUCUGAAAAGGCUUACACCAGAUAAAUAUAUGUUGGUUGUUUGUGAUAUGUCUUUAUGUACCUAGUAUUUAGGUAUAUUAUCUUAUAUUUAUCUAGUAAGUAGUUACAUUAUCUUAUAUUUAUCUAAUAAUUAGGUUUAUUAUCUUAUAUUUACCUAGU